UACGGAGGGAGCUAGCGUUAUUCGGAAUUACUGGGCGUAAAGCGCACGUAGGCGGCUUUGUAAGUUAGAGGUGAAAGCCUGGAGCUCAACUCCAGAAUUGCCUUUAAGACUGCAUCGCUUGAAUCCAGGAGAGGUGAGUGGAAUUCCGAGUGUAGAGGUAGAAAUUCGUAGAUAUUCGGAAGAACACCAGUGGCGAAGGCGGCUCACUGGAGCUGGUAUUGACGCGUGAGG
rnacentral:rRNA from 1 species